rnacentral:rRNA from 1 species
AUUGAACGCUGGCGGCAUGCCUUACACAUGCAAGUCGAACGGUAACAGGUCUUCGGAUGCUGACGAGUGGCGAACGGGUGAGUAAUACAUCGGAACGUGCCUAGUAGUGGGGGAUAACUACUCGAAAGAGUGGCUAAUACCGCAUGAGAUCUACGGAUGAAAGCAGGGGAUCGCAAGACCUUGUGCUACUAGAGCGGCCGAUGGCAGUUUAGGUAGUUGGUGGGAUAAAAGCUUACCAAGCCGACGAUCUGUAGCCGGUCUGAGAGAACGAUCAGCCACCCGGGGACUGAGAAACGGCCCAGACUCCUACGGGAGGCAGCAGUGGGGAAUUUUGGACAAUGGGCGAAAGCCUGAUCCAGCAAUGACGCGUGCAGGAUGAAGGCCUUCGGGUUGUAAACUGCUUUUGUACGGAACGAAAAGCCCCGGGUUAAUACCCUGGGGUCAUGACGGUACCGUAAGAAUAAGCACCGGCUAACUACGUGCCAGCCGCCGCCGUAA